AGAGGCUGCGGCUGCUGCGGAUGGAGGGACCGCUGAUGGUGGCUUUGCAUUCUCCUGGGCAGAUCUGUAUCUUCGUCGGGGAGACGCUGCUGUUUUCUAACUGGGCCAUCACUGCAGACAUCCUCAUGUACGUGGUCAUCCCCACCCGGCGGGCCACUGCCGUGGCCUUGCAGAGCUUCACCUCCCACCUGCUGGGGGAUGCCGGGAGCCCCUACCUCAUUGGCUUUAUCUCAGACCUGAUCCGCCAGAGCACCAAGGACUCCCCGCUCUGGGAGUUCCUGAGCCUGGGCUACGCGCUCAUGCUCUGCCCUUUUGUCGUGGUCCUGGGUGGCAUGUUCUUCCUUGCCACUGCUCUCUUCUUCCUCAGCGACCGCGCCAAGGCUGAGCAGCAGGUGAACCAGCUGGCGAUGCCGCCCGCAUCUGUGAAAGUCUGAGGUGGUGCCAUUGGGACAAUGAAGAACCCACACUCCCACUUAGUCUGGGAGGUGUCCUACAGCAUCAGGGACCGGCUGGGCUGCCCCAAAGCUUUCUGUGUGAUCCACGGCUAGGCAACCACCCUCUCUGGCCCAGGCCUGCUGAGUGGCCCUGGCAUCAAGAAGAGGCUGUGUCCUCAGUUGCCCUGGAAGGAUGUGUGUGUUGGAGCCACACAGUUGGACAGAUUCCCAGCCCUAGGUUUGGGCUGCAGGGCCCCUGGGGCCAAGCAA
rnacentral:sRNA from 1 species